UCAUCUCUAAACUUUGGUAAUUGAUGUUGCAAGACUACUUUACAUUUGGAAGUUCAAUAAGUUUUGAUUAUUCACACUACUACAAUAAUGCUUAAAGAUCGCAUAAGAAAAAUUAAAAAUAUCUCAUUUUUAUUAUAAGUGUAAUUAAAAAAAUUAAAUAAUAUUUCAAUCAUAGUUAAUUUAGUUGAGUGAGAUAAUAUUUAUUUUUAAUCUCAACAUCCAAGUGUGAUUAUAUAAUUUUUUUUUAAUCACAGUUUCUGUAUAAGUGUGAUUGUGUAUAUAUUUUUAAUUUUAUUUUUAUAUUUAUAUAAUUAGGCAUGAGGGUUUUUGAAUUUGUCCUAAGGAAAAAUAUUAUAGGUACCAAAUUUUCUACCAAACAAAUGAUUAAAUGUCUCACAUAAAUGUGAGGUCUAUAAAAUUACAGAGCCACAUUUAAUCAUUUAUUUAAUAUAAAAUUUGGUAUUCCUAACAUUACCUUAUCCUAAGUGAUAAGAAAUUGUCUUAGAAAUACAUUUAUAACCAACUAUUCAGAUCAAUAUCAAAAUCUAAGGGCCAAAUAUAUAACAUUGCCUGCCUCUUUGGAUUCCUGCUCAUGAAUACCAAUCACACCUCCCCCUAUCUUUCACAGACGUCCUCCACUCUCUCUCUCUCUCUCUUCUUGGUUUUACCUAUGGCAACUUUGUUGAAAUUCGAGUGCACUAUUUGAUCAAAUACAAGGUAGACCGGUCGACACAACCAACGAGAAAGAGAAAGCGCCAUCAAGAUCGAUAUAGGGGGUUCUGAAAUGGACAGUAGGAGAAUUACUACCAGUCCUUGGCUGUGAUGACCGAGAAAGAUGUAGGCCCCCAAAGUCCAUCAAGGACCAAGGUUGAGAGCUGUGAGUUUUCUCUAUUCCAACUGCGCCUUCUAGUAAGUUUCUCCUUUAUCCUUUAUUCCCAAUUUUACUACUUUAAAUUAAGUUCCAUUUGGAUACUCUCUCUCAUGCUUUUGUGUUUUUGUGGGUAUGCUUUCUUUCAUAUUUGUCAAUUGAUUUGGUAAGCAAUUUCAUCAAAAAAAAAUUUUGUUAACCAAUGCUUUUAUCAAUUGAUGUCAUGAAAUGGUUAUGUAAUAUAUCUUUUUUUGUUUCAAAUUAGAAGGUACUCCCUAUGAUUUUAUUUUUCCUUUAAAAUGAGCGGUUUCUUCGCUACAUAGCCGUGGUGUGUCAACCUCUUAAGCAAUUUCGGAGUUCAUAUUAAUUCAAACCAUGGACAAUAUCAAUAUCAACAUCAAUAUUGAGGCCUAAUUUUUACUUAUUAUUAUAUCUAAUUUCUUCAUAAUAAAAUGCUUUUGUAUCAUGUUUAACAGCUGUAUAAACGGGUAAUAUUAGAUCCAUAUACCAAUUUUUUUUUUAAUUUAAUCUGCAUUUUCUUAAUGAGUUGUACUACAUGUAAAUAUGACAUAACUUUCAUCAUUGUAGUUUUUGUAUGUUUUUUUUUCCUCUAAAUUAUCUGCCAAUUGGGGUUUUGUACUAAAAAGACAAUCUCCAACACUAGAAAAUGUACUGAUACAAUGCCAUAGAAGUUACAAAAACACAUACACGUACCCUGCAUCUGCAGCUGGUACUCUAAGCAGUUGCUUGUCUUUGGGCCCAUUGUCCUAUGCUACCAUGGUGGUGAACUAAAGGAAGAUUGGUUGCUGAUGGAUUAUUAUGAGAGCUCUACAGCAACUUACCAUUUUCUUUCAAUGGUCGUCAUCCCUGUUCCUAUGCUUCUAGAGACCUCAGCUUCAGCUUUAAUCUUACAAGCCUUACAUCAGUUCACAUUUGCAGCCUUAUUAGCAGCCUUAGUGACACGUGAAUGUGACCCCCAAAAAAAAAAUAAAAAAUUGACAAGUAGUUCUGUUAGCACUUGAUCUUUUCUCGUAACAUGUAGCUUGAAUUGUUCAUAUUCUUUAACAUCUCUUGUGGUCAAAAGUUAUGAAUCUCUUGAUUGCCUAUUGUAAUAUCUCUUCACUUUCACAUAUACAUCAUGCACUUUGAUCAUGGAAUGCAAGUAGUUUUUGUGAAUAUUAUUUGCACAUAGAUUGGCAAGCAUAAGUUAUCGCUCUUUAAGAGCGUUGUGUUGAUUUCUGAUGCGUAUCAAGAAUAUGGAUAUGCAAGCUUCAAAGGAAUUCCUUGCUGAACUGAAGGUGUAGUAUUUGAUAUGGAUUUUGUUAACAUUUAGAACCUAGAGUAAUUGGAAUUGAUUUCAUUUUUGGGAAUCCUUUUUAUUUUUAAUCCUCCAGAAUUUAACAUCAUAUUAUGGUAAUUUGAUGACCAUUAUAUUUACAUUGUGCCAUUUACCAGCAGUUAAGAGUCCUCGGGCUUUAGAUGGAGUUGGGAUUUGCUCUGUUUUUUCUCUGUUGGCUACUUGUACCUAACCACCACUGUACACACACUAGGGAAAAUGAUAUCAACCUUCACUUGAUCAACUCACACAACACAUCAAACUGGGGUUGAACUCCAUUAAACACACACUCAAUGCUUAUUGCUUUGUGGACUGCUUUAACUCAUAAAACAGGGCACCUCAAUAUAUAGCUACAUAAUAAACUUUCAUGUGGUGUAAACCUUUUGCACUGUGACUUGUGGAUGGACUCGUGCAAUGUAUUACCUGUUUAGUCUAAUCUGGUUUUAAAAUUACUCAACUGCACCCAAAUAGCAACUCUUAAGUCUUGCUAGUAGAUUAUGUUGACAACACAUCACCACUAUGACUAUUGUAUUGUUCAUGUGGCACAAUUUGAGUGCCUUACUGAAGUAACAAUGCCCAAAUGGUUUCCUAUAAAAAUUGGUUUUUAAUGUUAGUUUAUUAAUUUGAAUCUUUCAAUUGGAGUCAUAGAACUUUUUACAAGAUUGUAUGAAGUUUCUUCGUUUUACAUGGCAUAUUUUUCAGUGGUGCUCUUUGCCUGCUGGCUGCAUUCCAGUAGCGAUUAUUAUGUGUGAAUUUCAGAAUUUGAAAAAUUCGUUCAAAUUUGCUUGGGUUUCAAAAUUUUGUUUUUAAAUAACAUGAGUUUGGUUAAAAAACUUUAAUUAUUGUCAUUAGACUUGAAUGUUCUCCAAAGUUUUCUCUUGGAAGGUCAAAACAUGAAAUAAUCUAUAUCCAUUAGUGUCUAGUUAAAUUUUUAGUAUUUUAUUUCAACCUUCUUAUGGAGUAUUUUCCUACUUUGAAUCGUUUAAAUGUUAGGUCGUUACCCUCAAGUAACGCGUUGCGCUUGCCUCCUGGUGUUUCAAAAAGUGAGCAAGGGGCGCUGCAUCGACGCUUGGGUGCGGUGAAAAACGGGCAAAGGUUUCCGCGUUUUUUUGGACGAGCGCGGGUAAAGAAGCUAGUCCAAAACUACAGGUUUAGGGUAGCCACUUGGAAUAUAGGAACCUUAACUGAUAAGACGAUGGAAUUGGUAGAUGUUAUGAUUAGGAGGAGAGUUAGUAUAGCUUGCGUACAAGAAACUAAGUGAACGGGUGAGAAAGCUAGAGAAAUUAAGGAUACUGGUUUUAAACUGUAUUAUAGUGGGUAACGACAGAUGCAGAAAUGUGGUAGGAAUCAUAAUUGUCAAGAAUCUGGUGGAGAAUGUAGUGGCGGUCAUUAGGAAAUGGGAUAGGAUUAUGCUAGUUAAACUAGUUAUUGGAGGGAAUAUAGUAAACGUUAUUACUGCAUACGCCCCUCAAGUAGGAUUAGAUGAUCAGACUAACAAGGAUUUUUGGGAGCAAAUGGAUGAGAUCUUACAAGAGAUGCCCGUAGGAGAAAACCUGGUUAUAAGUAGAAAUUUUAAUGGCUAUGUAGGCAUAGAUAAACUAGGCUAUGAAAGGGUGCAUGGUGGAUACGGUUUUGGUGACAAAAAUGAGGCUGGAGAGAGUAUCUUAGAUUUUGCGUUGGCUUCUGACAUGGUGGUGGCCAAUGCUAUGUAUAAGAAGAGGGAGAAGCAUUUGAUAACUUUUAAGAGUAGGUCAGUUAAGGGCUAAAUAGAUUAUUUCUUAGUGAGAAAAGUGGACCGCUUAAAAUGCAAUGAUUGUAAGGUGAUUCCUAGAGAGAGCCUGACCUCUCAACAUAGGAUUUUGGUACUAGAUUUAUGUUUUAGAGGGCAAUACCAAGAU